GGGGGGUUAGCUCAGCGGUUAGAGCAGUCGUCUCAUACACGAUUGGUCGCAGGUUCGAACCCUGCACCCCCUACCA
rnacentral:tRNA from 1 species